AUGCACGCUGGCGGCGUGCCUCAUCCAUGCCAGUCGAGCGAACAGACGAGGAGCUUGCUCCUCUGACGUUAGCGGCGGACGGGUGAGUAACACGUGGAUAACCUACCUAUAAGACUGGGAUAACUUCGGGAAACCGGAGCUAAUACCGGAUAAUAUAUUGAACCGCAUGGUUCAAUAGUGAAAGGCGGUUUUGCUGUCACUUAUAGAUGGAUCCGCGCCGCAUUAGCUAGUUGGUAAGGUAACGGCUUACCAAGGCAACGAUGCGUAGCCGACCUGAGAGGGUGAUCGGCCACACUGGAACUGAGACACGGUCCAGACUCCUACGGGAGGCAGCAGUAGGGAAUCUUCCGCAAUGGGCGAAAGCUUGACGGAGCAACGCCGCGUGAGUGAUGAAGGUCUUCGGAUCGUAAAACUCUGUUAUUAGGGAAGAACAAAUGUGUAAGUAACUAUGCACGUCUUGACGGUACCUAAUCAGAAAGCCACGGCUAACUACGUG
rnacentral:rRNA from 1 species